GAUUUAGGAUUUCAAUACGAUUUGAUAAUGAUUGAUUUAGGAUUUAGGAUUUUGUGAAGAUUUUAUUAGAAUUGGUCUAAGAUUUUAGAUUUGGUUAAGAUUUGGUUAAGAUUUGGUUUAAGAUUUAAUUAAGGUUUAGAAUUUAUUUAAGAUUUUUUAAAGAUUUGAUUAAGAUAUAAUUAAGAUUUGAAUAGGAUUUCAUAUAGAUUUUACUAGGAUUUAGUUUAAGAUUUGGUUAGUAUUGAUUUAGAAUUUUAUUAGAAUUUAUUGAAGAUUAUAUUAG
rnacentral:lncRNA from 1 species